rnacentral:rRNA from 1 species
UUCUAAGGGCGUUGAAGCAUGAUCGCAAGGACAUGUGGAGCGCUUAGAAGUGAGAAUGCCGGUGUGAGUAGCGAAAGACGGGUGAGAAUCCCGUCCACCGAUUGACUAAGGUUUCCAGAGGAAGGCUCGUCCGCUCUGGGUUAGUCGGGUCCUAAGCUGAGGCCGACAGGCGUAGGCGAUGGAUAACAGGUUGAUAUUCCUGUACCACCAUUAUUCGUUUUAAGCGAUGGGGGGACGCAGUAGGAUAGGCGAAGCGUGCUGUUGGAGUGCACGUCCAAGCAGUGAGAUUGAGUGUUAGGCAAAUCCGGCACUCUUAAGAUUGAGCUGUGAUGGGGAGAGGAACUUGUUCCUCGAGUCGUUGAUUUCACACUGCCGAGAAAAGCCUCUAGCUAGA